CAUUUCUCUCUCUCUUCACUUACUCACCACUCAAACCCGAGAACCAUCUGAAAUUUCUUACUUUCUCAAAAAUUCUUUCUCUCAUUUUGCUUUAACCCCUCAAAAUUUUCUCCAGAAACCUCAAAGCCAAACCCUAAUGGUUUGUUUUCUUCUUAUUCAUAGUUACCCAAAACAAACUGGAAAAACCCUAACCUUUGCCUUGUUUUCCUCUCAUCUUGGAACCCUCAAAACCCUAACUUUUGCCUCGUUUUCCUUUCAUCCUGAAAACCCAAAUCCCGUGAUGUUAACCUCUUCAUUUCCCAUAAACCCUCCAGAAUCACAAAAUUCAUGUAACUGAAAUGGAGAAAAUUGUUAACUCACAACUUCACGGUGUAGAUUCAGGGACAUGGGGAGUUGUAGGUGCUCCAUCGUUAUCUCUCUAAGGCUCUAGUUGUUAGUCUCUCUCUUCGUCGCCAUCAACAGGUUUAUUAUUUUGUUGAUUAUCAUUUUUCAAUUAAUGGAAGCAAUAGGGUCACCCUUGAAGGUGGGCAUACAGGUGUUGUUAAGGGUGUGCUUCCUAUGUUCGGCAAGCUGAUUGACACCACCCAAAGCGAAGGCAUUUUUGGAUGCAUCCGUUUUAAUUUAAUUUUUUUUCCAUAAAAAUUUUCAUUUCUUUUUAGUGGAGCAUGAAAUUUUCUGUUAGUGGUGGUGUGAAUUUUCUGUACAAUUUUUGUAUCUCUUUUAAUUUAAGAUUAGAUUGAAACUUUCA